GUGGGGAAUUUUGGACAAUGGGCGCAAGCCUGAUCCAGCAAUGCCGCGUGCAGGAAGAAGGCCUUCGGGUUGUAAACUGCUUUUGUACGGAACGAAACGGUCCUGGUUAAUACCUGGGGCUAAUGACGGUACCGUAAGAAUAAGCACCGGCUAACUACGUGCCAGCAGCCGCGGUAAUACGUAGGGUGCAAGCGUUAAUCGGAAUUACUGGGCGUAAAGCGUGCGCAGGCGGUUUUGUAAGACAGGCGUGAAAUCCCCGGGCUCAACCUGGGAAUUGCGCUUGUGACUGCAAGGCUGGAGUGCGGCAGAGGGGGAUGGAAUUCCGCGUGUAGCAGUGAAAUGCGUAGAUAUGCGGAGGAACACCGAUGGCGAAGGCAAUCCCCUGGGCCUGCACUGACGCUCAUGCACGAAAGCGUGGGGAGCAAACAGGAUUAGAAACCCCUGUAGUCC
rnacentral:rRNA from 1 species